rnacentral:lncRNA from 1 species
CCACAAGCGAGUUGGGGCAUUCAGACUGGGGCAUCGGUUAAAAGCUGUACAAGGUCACGGGUAGCAUGGAUUCAUCCAGUGGGUCAGUCAAUAGAGGUCAUUCAAUGUGACUUCUCAUGUAGCUUGCUGGAGGACACACACUGUCUUCUCUCUGAGAUCUUCAGUUAAAUCCUCAUUGUUCAACAUUAGCUCUCUGAGUGGAUUCUUUGGGAGCAACCUGAGGAGGGGCUGAACUUUACAUCUGGGUCCCUUUAGUGGAUAGCAGAGAUAAUCUCCUGGACUUGGGAGCCAGGGAAAAGCAGCCCUACAAACUGAAGCUAGACAACUUUAUAUAAACUUUGGGAGAAAUCAUCACAGCAACUUACAUGUAAACAACCUCCGUGCUUGUUGACGGAUGGACUACUCAGAAAGUCCACUGUGUUGACCUAAUGGAAGAAACUGAGGCAAAAUUAAUAUAAGUAGAGAGUUUAUUUGGGUCAAGUUUGAAGACUGCAGCCUGGAAGACAUAAAUUCAAGUUGCCCUGAAUAUAUCCUCCAAUUAGCAGCAGUUACAAGUGAGUUUUGAAAUAAAAAAACAGGGACAGUUCUUAAGCUGUUUGUCAAGAAUUUGCAUUGGUUCAUAAAAAUAACAUAAGCCAUCAAUUUGAUGUUCAUUGUUCUUUGUAUCACAAAUUCCAGGAACAUGAAGAUAGUGGGUGAGGGUCAUGUUGUGCAACUUGUGGUGACAUUUUAGGAAAUUUAUCAGCUAGUUUGGGAACUACAGGGAAAGAAAGAAAAAACAAAACGCCUUGAAACAAUUACCCCUGGGCAUGGCUGUGGGGGACCAGACUGAAGUCUCAUGCUCCUGUCACUUUGGGCCUGAUAAAUUUUCCUUACAAUCUUCAGACUGCUCUGAGACACAUUUCUUUCUUAACUGGAACAUCUGAUUCAAACUACAAUCCAUGAAAGUCUGUCAGAUUGUCACUGCCUGCCUAUGGCAACUGAAGAUGCUUCAGAAACUCUAGAAAAACUAGUUUAUAGACUACAGUGAUAGUCCUUUUUUGUGUCACUAUCAAGGAAUACCUGAGGCUGGGUAAUUUACAAAGAAAAGAGGUUUAUUUGGCUCAUGGUUUUGCAGGCUGUAGAGGAAGCAUGGCAGCAGGUUGCCUCAGCUUCUGGUGAAGUUCAGGAAGCUUCCAAUCAUGGCAGAGGCAAAGUGGGAGCAGACGCAUCACAUGGUGAGAGCAGGAACAAGAGAGAGAAGGGGGGGGCCCAGAUUCUUUUACACAACCAGAUCUCGUGUGAACUGAGUGAAAACUCGCCCAUCACCAAGGGGAUGGUGCUAAGCCAUUCAUGAGGAUCCACCUCAACGGUCCAGUCACCUCCCUCCAGGCCCCACCUCCAACAAUGAGGAUCACAUUUCAAUGUGAGGGGACAGAGAUCCAAAUCAUAGUAAGUACUCUGGACCUUCACCUUUGUUUUUCUUCUGUUUCCAUAGAAAGGCAUCUUAUUAAAGAUCUGUUUGCCUGCACUAUAUAUAGAGGCCUAGCUUUGAGAGCCCCUCUGCAGCGCCAUCUCCUGAAAUGAGACAUGACUGUUUAAUUGAACUGACCUAUUUCUAGAAACAGGAGACUGGUUUAAUGGGAUCCUUUGCCACUUGGCUAUUAACUCAAUUUUUCUCUGCACAGCCACUAACUCAGCUUUUAAAGUAUGAAACUUCUAGGGAAGUUUCAGAAAGGUAAUGUUGGGGUUCAGAAAAUGAUACCUUGAAGUCUGGACAUGCUGAAAGGCCUUAGAAGUGGCCUCAGAGUCAAUGUCCCUCUAACCUUGUCUGUCUCCCACCCCCAACCCCAACCAAAUGAAGAAAUACAAUUGUCUUCCUCCCUUCCCUGAAAUCUCAUUAUCUAUCUCAGAAAAGAAGACUGAAGAAUGCAACCACACUUGGAUGGACUUUUUCAGAAGAUAAUGCCUGCCACUGGAGGCUCAUUCAAAUUUCAAAGAGAAUCUAUAGUUAAUUUCUGUUCAUUCAUAUUUCCUAAUAAUCAUUUGCAGCUCCUCAAAAGAAUUGUCUGAAUUCUUCAUCUCCUUCCUCCCCUAUGAAAAAGAGUAUAUAAGCUUCUGAACCCCAUUGGGUUAUUCUGUACCCCAUUG